GACACUGGUGGAGUUUCUGUACCUGGGUGUGUAGGGAGGAGGAAGCUGGGGCAGUGUCAGCCGGGAACACCAUGUCCCUCACUCCCGGCACACAGGCCACCCUCCACUAUGGCGUUGUACUGGAUGUGGGGAGAGGGACGACGAUUCAAUGCCAAUGGUUCAAUGAGCCGAUCGUCCCCAUGUAUUCGGUGUUAGGUUUCCGUAUUCUGGCCUUACUGUGUCGAAGUUUGAUCCACGGAGAGGACAUCGACAUGACUGA